AUUACUUUGGCAGAAUAGUGCAAUGGAUUUAGAAUCUUUUUAUGUAAUUUUUACAAGUAAUAC
rnacentral:tRNA from 1 species